rnacentral:lncRNA from 1 species
GAGACGUUUAAACCAGGUGAUGUCAUCGCAUAUGUAGGAGGUGGAACAACAUGGUUGGUUAAGGCCUAUUGAGCAGGGCUAGAGGCUCUACAGUGAAAUAAGACAGUAAUCACUAACCAGGACAGUAAUGGACGAGGCAUAUUGAUAUUAGAGAGAGGCAUGCGUAACCAAGUGAACAUAUGGGUCCAGUGAGUGGUUGGGCUGACUGGGGACACGGCAAUUCAGACAGUUAGCAGGCCGAUGCUAACAAGCUAACAGUUAUUAGGCCGGGGCUAAACAAGCUAGCAGUUAGCAGACCGGGGCUGGCAAGCUAGCAGUUAGCAGACCGGGUUAGCAAGCAAGCAGUUGGCAGACCGGGGCUAGCAGUUAGCAGACUGGGGCAGGCAAGCUAGCAGUUAGCAGACCGGGGCAAGCAAGCUAGCAGUUAACAGACCGGGGAUAGCAAGUUAGCCUUUGGAGAACGUCGCGUUGGGGGACCUGAGCCCUAGGACCAUGCCUCAGGACUACCUGGCCUGAUGACUCCUUGCUGUCCCCAGUCCACCUGGCUGUACUGCUGCUCCAGUUUCAACUGUUCUGCCAGCGGCUAUUGAACCCUGACCUGUUCACCGGACGUGUGACCUGUCCCAGACCUGCUGUUUUCAACUCUCUAGAGACAGCAGGAGCAGUAGAGAUACUAUGAAUGAUCGGCUAUGAAAAGCCAACUGACAUUUACUCCUGAGGUGCUGACCUGUUGCACCCUCGACAACCACAGUGAUUAUUAUUAUUUGACCCUGCUGGUUAUCUAUGAACAUUUGAACAUCUUGGCCAUGUUUUCUUAUAAUCUCCACCCGGCAUAGCCAGAAGAGGAGUAGCCACCCCUCAUAGCCUGGUUCCUCUGUAGGUUUCUUCCUAAGUUCUGGCCUUUCUAGGGAAUUUUUCCUAGCCACCGUGCUUCUACACCUGCAUUGCUUGCUGUUUGGGGUUUUAGACAGGGUUUCUGUACAGCACUUUGAGAUAUCAGCUGAUGUAAGAACGGCUUUAUAAAUAUAUUUGAUAUAAACAUUGAGUUGUUAUUUUACCUGAAAUGCACAAGGUCCUCCACUCCGCCAAUUAAUCCAAGCAUAAAACGGUCAACCAGGCUUUUUCUUCUCUUGAGUUUAUAUUGCAAUUGGCAACUUUCAUACAUUACGUGCAUUACCGCCACUGACCUUGUUCGUCAUUCAGUCACCCAUGUGGGUAUAACCAAUGAGGAGAUGGCACGUGGGUACCUGCUUCUAUAAACUAAUGAGGAGAUGGGAGAGGCAGGACUUGCAGCGCGAUCUGCGUCAGAAAUAGAACUGAAUAUUUCUGCAUCUAUUUUAGCCCUUUGCAAUGCAGACCCUCUAUUUCUGCGUCUAUUUUAGCCCAUGGCAACGCAGACGCUCGUUGGCGUGCGUGAGCAGUGUGGGUGCAAUAAUUGAAUAACAUGUAUGUCUACAUUUAUUUUGCAAUGCUCGCGCACACAACGCUAGCGGUGUAGUCAGCCUGUAAUGAGUUCUUUGGACAAGUUACCUCAACAUUACUCUCAUGGAUGAAUGGAAAUUCCCUUUGUCUAUAGUAUCUUUGUUCCUCCUUUGUGCACAAGUCGUAGGGAUCCUAUAGCUGAAAGGACUGCAGCGUUACAGAUGUAGGAUAUUAAUUUGAUCAGUAUUUUGUUGUUGAGAAUUUUCAUGCACAGCAGGAAAUGCAAACUUGUAGUGUAUUCAAGGUUUAAAAAGGCUUCUAAAGUUUGUCAUUUCCACUUUAAAAUGUCAGACUUGAUUUGCCCUAAUGUAAAAUGUAUCAACCCCUACAAAAAAUAUCCAUGAAUUAUAAUCCACAUAAUAAUUCACAUUUCCUGCUGUAACAAACUGGCUCAAAUUAAGAUCCUACAUCUGUAUUCUCCUCGAAGCCAUCAAACCCACUACCCAAUGUUUUAUGGAACAGGGUCUAGUCCUCGAGAUUCAAUUAACUUUACAUUCCAAAUCAACUGGAUCAGCAUUUGCAAUAACCUCCGUACCCUUCGAUACAUCAUACUCAGUGGUUUCCAAGACCCCUUACGUCACCAAAUAGAUCGCUAGGGGGAUAGGGGUGGGUGAGGUGCAGGAAAGGUAACCCCACCACCCAUAAUCCCCCUGUCUGAUGUGCCAGUCACACAUUGUCCUUGCUGAGUGUGUCAGUGCCACCACUAACCAUUUUCCCCCCUGAGUGUUUAUUUAGCCAUCUCUCAGGAGAGUCUCUGGGCUCUGUGAGCUCUGAUGAUCAACGAACCGUCAUUUCCUCAUGGCAUCAUGGCUCAACCUCACAUAUUACAAAUUUAGUCAUCUCUCCUCACUCUCCUCUUUAUCUCUCUACUCUCUCUGUUCUUCACUCAUUAUCUUACUCUUGCUCUCUGAAAGUCAUUAUCUGUCGGCGUUGAAACAAAGAGAAAGAACUCUUUCAGAUCCAUAUAGGCCUUGGGUAUCUGGACAAAAAACUAGUUCAGUGGUUAUCUGAAAUUCAAUUUGCCAAGAUUCUGAUUCAAAAAGCUGUUCAGCUCUCAAGCGGUAGCAGUAUAUUUGUCAGCACCAGGCUGUUGGUUAGUCAGGCAUUUUCAUCCGAGUGAAAUGUAUUACUCAUGUAGUGAUUUACUAGAGGUUGUAUUAACAUUUGUGUAUUAAUGUGUAAUCAAACUUGUUUUGCAGGUAUUACAUCAGCCUCUUUCCUGCAGAAUGAUGCAAACUGAGAGGAGAUGGAAGGAAAGAUAGUUGUGUCGUACGAUCAAGUGAAUGUAUUCAUCCUCACCUUCAUCUUUGAUUUAGAGUGAUUGCUGUUGACAUGGGCUGUCACAUUGUUAUGUGAGAUGGGGGGAUUUUUUGAAAGGUUACUUGAUUGAAUUAACACUGGUCAUUAUUCAUGCACAGUGAGUCGCCAAGAAUCCCUGUUGAAAGAGAAACACUAGCCAAAUUGGAGAGAGAUCUCUGUGCUGGAAAUGCUCUGGACUGCAGCUCUUUACUACAUUACGUUGAGCGAUGUUGUGCAGUUUGAGAGGGUGCUCUUUAGCAUUUGGCUAUGGGACUUGUGGUAUGUGUUUUCUUAAUGUGAUGUUAAUGCUUUUGUAGGAAGAUGUAUUGUGCCCACCCACUACACUCGGAAAUAGAUCAAGUUGAAGCAGCACAAAUCUUUAAAGGCCACAGUUUCUGCUCUGUAGUUGGUUGACCAAGUAGUACAAUUGGAUACUGUAUCGAGUCAUACAACUUUACAAAUAAAGUAAUUAGCUACUUACCUUUUCUUAAUUUUCACAAUAUGGCUAUUUAAUUACAAAUGUAUCUUGCUUUAAAAAGUGUAUGAACUAAUAUUAACUUACUAUUGUCAAUGAGGACAGAUUCAUUAGUUCUAUGAGACAAGAUGCAGGGUUAGGUGAAAACAGUUUGUGUGCUGAAAAUUGUAGAUCAGACAACCUUCAUAUGAGAAAAUCAUAAGUUUUUGUCCAAUAAUUAACAAUUUGCAUAGUUAACGCUGCACUCU